GUCGGUUGCGAGCAGUUCGAUAACGGUCGCGGCUUCGGCUGAUGCGACCUCAAACUCGCAGGGGCAUUAUUUCGAAGAACGCAGCAAUCUUGAACCAACCGCCAUAUUUCCAGAAACGAAAAAAUGAGUCCGGCUGCAGAUUUUGUUCUACGUGCACCACUGGGUCACUGCCUCUCUGAAGAAUCUUCAGAACAAAACUCUCACCUUCUUGCUUGCCAGUAAUUAUUGCCCAGCAGCUGCAUUCUUGGAGUUGCACCACUGUACAGAGGCAUAAACAUUCCACUGAAAGUGAAAGAGGCACUGACAGAUCCCAGACUUCACUGGGAAACAUAACAUUGUCUCACUUGUCAUGGAGCAAUGCUGACUAAGUUCUUGAGACAGACAAAGGGAGACAGACAUAACAGAGGAAGCUGCAUACCAAUAAGCUGUUGAAGUGAGUCUAUUAAAGAGCAAUACAUAUUGUACAAGUUAAAUCAAGUGUUAGUUGUGAGUGUCAAGAAGUUAUGACCCCAUCCACUGGCACGCAAGGAUUGCAUUCUACAUACUGUUUUUGUGCAUAAUUAAGACGCAGAUUUGUUUCCACCGUAUAUGUUCUGUGAGAUGUACACCUUUUUAGAGCUGACUGGUCUAUAUGACUCUACAAAAUGAUCACAAGAUGAAUAAAUGUAAUUUUGUUUCACAGUCCACAAAGAGAGACCAUUUUACCAUAUAUUCAAACAAAUAUUUGUCAAAGACUUGUUUAUUACCAAAUAUAUGUUUUCUGAACUUCA